rnacentral:rRNA from 1 species
UGUCAGACUCGAGAGUGGUAGAGAGAGGUGGAAUUCCGGGUGUAGUGGUGAAAUGCGUAGAUAUCCGGAGGAACACCAGUGGCGAAAGCGGCCUCCUGGCCCAUUUCUGACGCUCAGACACGAAAGCUAAGGUAGCAAACGGGAUUAGAGACCCCGGUAGUCUUAGCUGUAAACUAUGUGAACUUAGUGUCGGUGGGUUUAAAUCCAUCGGUACUGAAGCAAACGCGAUAAGUUCACCGCCUGGGGACUACGGCCGCAAGGUUAAAACUCAAAGGAAUUGACGGGGCCCCGCACAAGCAGCGGAGCGUGUGGUUUAAUUCGAUGCUACACGAAGAACCUUACCAGGGUUUGACAUGCUAGUGGUAGGAAACCGAAAGGUGACCGACCCUUCGGGGAGCUAGCACAGGUGCUGCAUGGCUGUCGUCAGCUCGUGUCGUGAGAUGUUCGGUUAAGUCCGCUAACGAGCGCAACCCUCGCUGUGUGUUAUAUGUGUCACAUGGGACUGCCGGUCUUAAGCCGGAGGAAGGUGGGGAUGACGUCAAGUCAGCAUGGCCUUUAUGUCCUGGGCUACACACACGCUACAAUGGUCAGCACAAUGGGUCGCUAAGCCGCAAGGUGGAGCCAAUCCUCAAAGUUGGCCUCAGUUCAGAUUGUAGGCUGCAACUCGCCUGCAUGAAGAUGGAGUUGCUAGUAAACGCAGGUCAGCUAUACUGCGUUGAAUACGUUCCCGGGGCUUGUACACACCGCCCGU